CCUACGGGGGGCAGCAGUGGGGAAUAUUGGACAAUGGGGGGAACCCUGAUCCAGCCAUGCCGCGUGUGUGAAGAAGGCCCUCGGGUUGUAAAGCACUUUCAGUGAGGAAGAACGCCUGGUGGUUAAUACCCAUCAGGAAAGACAUCACUCACAGAAGAAGCACCGGCUAACUCCGUGCCAGCAGCCGCGGUAAUACGGAGGGUGCGAGCGGUUAAUCGGAAUUACUGGGCGUAAAGCGCGCGUAGGUGGCUUGAUAAGCCGGUUGUGAAAGCCCCGGGCUCAACCUGGGAACGGCAUCCGGAACUGUCAAGCUGGAGUGCAGGAGAGGAAGGUAGAAUUCCCGGUGUAGCGGUGAAAUGCGUAGAGAUCGGGAGGAAUACCAGUGGCGAAGGCGGCCUUCUGGACUGACACUGACACUGAGGUGCGAAAGCGUGGGUAGCAAACAGGAUUAGAUACCCUGGUAGUC
rnacentral:rRNA from 1 species